GCCUGCCGCCUUACCCUGUGGUGUACUUUCACCCUCUUGCUCCUAGGUCUGUAGAUUAUUCCAAUGUACUUGACUAUAUUGACAUGUUUAGUAUGUGUUUGUCGUAGACUCUUCCAUCCCGAUUGAGGCCGUGUCCACACAAACGGAUUAGACUCCUCGCACAUUUUUCACGGGUGUACCCCGCCUUCCGCCCGAUUGCAGCUGAGAUAGGCUCCAGCACCCCCCGCAACCCUGAAAAGGGACAAGCGGUAGAAAAUGGAUGGAUGGCAUUCUUAUAUCAAAGAUCUGUUGGCAUACUAAUCCAUUCACAUUCUGUCAUCAGGGUCUCCUUCGGGUCAUUAAAUAGUAUUGAAAGUCAUCAAGUAGAUUUUGUAAAAAUUAAGGCCUUAUAUAGCAAUUAAACAAUGCCCAGAGGCAUUAAAAAAAUCAUACAAUUGCCAUUGGCAACAAAAAAACAAAUGGACUAUUUUUUUUUAAGCAAAAAAUGCACUUCAAGAUGUUCAACAUUAAUUGAAGUUUAUUUUUUGCUAACAGAUUGAGUCUAUUUUAUGAGGUUUGUUUACCUAAUUAAGACAAUUGUUGUUCACCCCACAAUGGUUAAAAAAAACACUAAAAAAAAUUGCAAAAUAUGUUGCGUUUGAAAGGGUUAUACACAUUAUAUAUUAUGAUUACACGAGUAAACUUUAAUUAUUCAACAUUGUCUAAUGCUUACAAUUUUGUCUUUACAGACAAUUGUGGGUUUGACUAAGGAGCUGCAGCAAGACAUGGGAAUCAAAAUUGUUCUAAGUUUCAUUAAAAAGCAUUACAUUAGAUUUGCUGAUACCUGCAGAAACCGUAGUUCGGCCAAUAAGCCAAAAACAAACACAGGUGAUGCGGUUGUGCAUUCUAAUGCCCAAGUUCAAUGAGAUAAUGCUGCACUUCUUUUUUUAUCUGCCACACAAAAAGCUCAAUUUGUAAGGAUAAAUACCCGUUUCCAUGUAGCUGAGAAGCAUUUUUAACAUAUCCGUAUUCGAGUAGACAUGGCCUGAAUUUCAAAUUAAGGAAACCAUAGGAACUUGCUCACUACCGUAAAUUUCGGACAAUACCGUGCACUUAAAUUGUCCCUUUUUCUCAAAAAAAAGUCAGUGCGCCUUAUAACCCGGUGUGCCUAAUGUACGUAUUAAUUCUGGUUGUGCUUAUUUACCUUAAAGCAAUUUUAUUUGGUCAGGGUUUCCCCUAGAUUGCCAAGAUACCUAUCGUAUGAAGCCGUGGCCAAUGUGACCUCACAUUUGCUACGAUGCAUACAUUUUCUUUAAAAAAGCAACAACAAAAAUAAGUAUACAUUAGAAACAAUUUUGUUAUAAAUUUUAGUAUUAAUUGAUUUUAGGUAGAAAUAUCUCAUUUUACAUUACCAGAUCUAUAGGGUACACUUAUUAAUGAUGAAAAAUUACAUCUGUGAUACUGCGAUUCAUUUUGAUUUAACUAUGAACAAUUUGAUUGACGGGAUUAAAUAUUUUAAUUGUUUGACAGCCCUAGUAAUAACAUAUUUUCUUUACAUACUACUGUUUUGCUGUAUUUUUCAAUUGUACAAUGUACUUUGUUGAGAUUUUUUUUCCCAAGAGAAUUCGCCAAUCUUUUUAGUCACUAUUUCUUUAUUAAAAUUAGAAACAAACAUAGCAUCUAUUUCUGGUGUUAUUGUAGACUGUACUCGUGUUUAGAGACUUCUGUCACUCUAUUCACAAUAAAAACAACAAAAAGCGAGCUGCAAAGAGCCUGGCACAUGCUUCUUGAAAGCCGUCAGCGUCAUCUUAAAUUUUAUAGAUCGCUGUCGGCAGGUUUCUCGAAUAUAUUAAAGUACGCGGGCAUUCUGCCUCCGAUCCAGACAAAUUCGUUGCUUAUGGCUUACACUCUUGCAACAUUCUGUUUCCGCAGUGAGCUUGGUUGGCAAUAAAAGGUAAAACGAGCAUCAGAUUGUCUUUUUUCUGGACAUUACAAUACUUUAUAUUGCUUUUUGUUUUCAAGCAAAAACUCAAAUUUUAAGGUGAUGUUUCAUUAAGAUGAACAUUACACUCAAAUCUGUCAAAAUGUUUUAUUGCGAUUUUGGUCAUCUACGAAGCCGCACCGCUUGAAUUGUCGGUGCAAUACGGCUACUGCAGUCAGACGUACUGUGCUUCAACAUACAAGUAUUAUGGUGUGUGUGUUUAUAUGGAUCUCAAAAUUGCACCUAGUAUGAGACAUUAUCUGGCGUUUGUUUCGCAAUGUUAUGCAAAACCAACUUUUCUUGGUUCUUGCUGUUGUGUAUUCGCGAUCUACAUUAGUCCCGAAAAUGUGAGCGCGUCCGCCAUUGCAGUCCGCGGCAGAAGCUUUUUUUCCAUCCUCUUGUUGUGGGGCAUUCUUCCUCCGCUGUUGCCAUCUAAUAUAAAGUAGCGUACAGUCUUAACAUAUAUGUGGCAGUAGACUUGCUAUGGAAGUGCUAAAACUACUGUUAUAACAAAGAUGAAGAGGAGAAGACGCUGUCAAAGUGGAGCCAUGUAAAUAAGAUCGCCCACAAAACAGAAGUUGAGGAAGCGGCUCGAAGAUGGUCUGUAAAACAUCCAUCCAUGCAAAAUAUUGAUCAAAGAACCACCAUUAC